GGAUUGAAGAGCAGCCUGGCUGUAACAUCUGUCAGCCCACUGAUCAGCAAGGUUGGUUCUGCAGAUCUGGCUGACCGAGAGAGUCUCCCCUUCCUCCCUCUUCUUUCCCCAUAGUCCCUCCCAAAGCUGCAUGUUUGGUGGAGGAGGACAACCUUCCCCACUAGAUACAAAAUGGUCUUCUUUUUAU
rnacentral:snRNA from 1 species